rnacentral:rRNA from 2 species
GGAUCCCAUCAGAACUCCGAAGUUAAGCGUGCUUGGGCGAGAGUAGUACUAGGAUGGGUGACCUCCUGGGAAGUCCUCGUGUUGCAUUUCCC